CAACAAGCGGAGUUAAAUAAAAAAAACACAGUAAUACGCCAUUUUGAUAGUAUUGUAAAAGUUUCCCGCUUUACGUUUGUGUUGUUAAAAAUAAAGGUAUAAUCAUAGUACAUACAUUGUAACCACAACAUAAGAGGGGUUAUUCCAAAGUAAGUGUCAUGGAUAAUCAAAAAGAAAAGGAACGAGACCGAUCUAGGCGUGGGGACAGGCCUUCCCGCUUUUCAGAUGUUGAGAGAGAUCGAUCAAAUGACCGCGAUCGAUCGGAAGGAAAACGGCUGUUUGUUUCAAAUAUUCCCUACGAAUACCGAUGGACUGAUCUUAAAGAUUUAUUUAAAGAAAAGGUAGGGGAUGUGGCAUUUGUUGAAUUAUUUACUGAUGAUCAUGGGAAGCCUCGGGGAUGCGGUGUUGUCACAUUCUCCACUGCAGAAGCUGCUAAGAAAGCACUAUCAGUUAUGCAUAGAUAUGAGUUAUUUGGACGAAAACUUGUAUUGAAAGAGGAAAUGGGAAAUAAUGAUAGGACUAGAAAUAACACAAGAUCUGGUGGAGGAAAUUCAAGGAAUGCUAGAGAAGAAAAAGACAAUUGGGGUCCAAGUAAACCAAGAGAGUCUGAGAAUUACAACACAUAUGGCUUGAGUCUGCAGUUUUUGGAUUCCAUCAAUGUCCAACCACCCCUUGUUAAAAAAGUAUUUGUUGCAAAUUUGGACUAUAAAGCUGAUCGCACAAAGAUAAAGGAGGUAUUCAAGAUGGCGGGAAAAGUUUAUAACAUUGAUUUGGCUGUGGAUAAAGAUGGAAAUAGCAGAGGCUUUGCUGUUAUUGAAUAUGAUCAUCCUGUUGAGGCUGUACAGGCAAUUUCAAUGUUUGACAAGCAAAUGUUGUAUGACCGCAGAAUGACAGUCCGUAUGGACCGCGGUACAUCAGAUAAAAAUGAAUUGAAGCUGCCGGAAGGUUUGAAAGGUAUUGGAUUAGGUUUGGGACCUAACGGGGAGCCAUUGAGAGAUGUCGCUAGGAAUUUGCCCCAAGGACAGAGUACAACAAACAUAGGUUUGUCUGGGACUAACCCGCCUCUGGGGGCGGGAGUGCUGGGCGCUGUGCCCACUGCUGGAGUGGCACUCAAUGGCCUGGGCUCCGGCUUGCCUGCAAACACACUUGGCCCUAACACCGCUCUCGGCGGUGGCUUGAGCUUGCAGGUAAUUCUAAAUAAGGCUCUAGGGUUGACAGGUCUGGGAGCAUUGCAGAAUCAGUUGCUCCAACAAGGUUUAACAGCGAAUGACCUUGCGACUGUGCUCUCAGCGCAGGCAAAUGUUAACACAAACAAUAUGGCAAUGAACACAACGGAUAUGUCAUCUAACAUGAUGCCCAAUACAAAUAUGAACAGCAAUGUGAUUGGCAACCCUGGACUCAGUAGUGGUCCAUUAUCAGGUUUUGGUCCCGUUCCAGGUCCUAACAGACAGGUAGUGAACACAUCAGCUUCCAGUCACCAGAGUCAGAACUAUGUCAGAGAUACCAGACCUGAACAAAAUUCAAGAGAUAAAAUAUCUGAUAUGGUGAUAAUUACUAAUCUGCCGCCGACGGUGACGUGGCAGCUGAUCCGCGAGAAGUUCAGCGAGUGCGGCGACGUGAAGUUCGCGGAGAUGACGGCCUCCGACACCGCCGUUGUGCGCUUCCACAAGGAGUGGGACGCAGAGAGAGCUAUCAAAAUGUUUGACAGGACCCGCAUCGAUGGCAGGACGAUUGAUGUGCGUUUCUUCUAAAUGACAAAGGCGUAAUUCCAGUGAAUGGAAUUAUAAAUGCUACAUAUGAUCUUCAAGACGGAUAAGAAUGUCGAUGAAAAGAGAUAAAGCAAACCACAACUAUUGAGGGUAUUUGGAAAAAGUAUGAAGGAGUUAAAAGAUACUUCACAAUCAUCCAGAAUGUGGCCUUUUGUCAAUAUUUGAUGGAUAGAAUUGAUUAUAUUGGUUUUGACCGUGACUUGCGGGAGAUUAAGAAAUUCAUUUAAAAUUGUCAUAUUCCACCAGGUUUCAUGUUCAGAAAACGCAGUACUAAUGGCAUAUCGAAAACCUGAUUUGAGUUUAAAAGAGUAAAAUACAUAGUAAAAGUGCAAUAUGUCUGGAUAGCAACACCCCUAAUUUACUGAAAAUUCAGUCUACCUGCUAACGAAUUUAGCUGUAACAUGAUAAUAAUGCUGUUAAAUUAAGUCAUAAAAUAUAUUUUAAGAAUAAAUUUAAGGGGUUAAAUAAUGCAUAAGAAUAGAUAUAAAUGCGUUAUUGUUA